rnacentral:rRNA from 1 species
GACGAACGCUGGCGGCGUGCUUAACACAUGCAAGUCGAACGGCAAGGCACUGCUUUUGUGGGGUGCUCGAGUGGCGAACGGGUGCGUAACACGUGAGUAACCUGCCCUUGACUUUGGGAUAACUUCAGGAAACUGGGCUUACUCCAGGAUCGGAGCCCCUGCUGCAUGGUGGGGGUUGGAACGUUUCGGCGGUUGGGGGUGGACUCGCGGCUUAUCAGCUUGUUGGUGGGGUAGUGGGUUACCCAGGCGUUGACGGGUAGCCGGCCUGAGUGGGUGACCGGCCAUAUUGAGUCUGAGAUGAGGCCCAGACGGCGACGGGAGGCAGCAGUGGGGAAGAUUGCACAAUGGACGGAGGGCUGAUGCAGCAACGCCUCGUGCUGGAUAGCGGCCUUCGGGGGAUAGAACGCUUGCACCUGUGACGAAGGGUGAGUGACGGUAAUGGGUAGAGAAAGACCGGCUAAAUACCGU